rnacentral:tRNA from 1 species
GUCGGACUGGCGGAAUAGGUAGACGCACGGGACUUAAAAUCCUGGGGGCUGCGGCUCGUGCGGGUUCGAAUCCCGCGUUCGACA